rnacentral:rRNA from 1 species
AAUGAACGUUGGCGGCGUGGAUUAGGCAUGCAAGUCGUGCGGAAAGGCCCCGCAAGGGGUACUCGAGCGGCGAAAGGAAUAGUAACACGUAGGUACCUACCCUCAGGACUGGGAUAGCUACGGGAAACUGUAGGUAAUACCAGAUAAUGUUUCCGAACCAAAGGUGUGAUUCCGCCUGGGGAGGGGCCUGCGCCCUAUUAGCUAGUUGGUGAGGUAACGGCCCACCAAGGCUGAGAUGGGUAGCGGGUGUGAGAGCAUGACCCGCAUUACUGGGACUGAGACACUGCCCAGACACCUACGGGUGGCUGCAGUCGAGAAUCUUCGGCAAUGGGCGAAAGCCUGACCGAGCGACGCCGCGUGCGGGAUGAAGGCCCUCGGGUUGUAAACCGCUGUCAGAGGGGAGGAAAUUCCAGGGAGUUCUCUCUUUGGUUUGACCUAUCCUCAGAGGAAGUACGGGCUAAGUUCGUGCCAGCCGCCGCGGUAAAAC